rnacentral:rRNA from 1 species
GUCGGUGGUGUUGGCGGAGGGGGUACGCCCGGUCCCAUUCCGAACCCGGUAGCUAAGGUCUCCAGCGCUGAUGGUACUGCACUCGUUGGGGUGUGGGAGAGUAGGUCGCCGCCGACA